UUCUUAGAGGGACUAUUGACUAUUAGUCAAUGGAAGUUUGAGGCAAUAACAGGUCUGUGAUGCCCUUAGAUGUUCUGGGCCGCACGCGCGCUACACUGAUCAAGUCAACGAGUUUACAACCUUGGCCGGAAGGUCUGGGUAAUCUUUUGAAACUUGAUCGUGCUGGGGAUAGUCCAUUGCAAUUAUUGGACUUCAACGAGGAAUUCCUAGUAAGCGUGAGUCAUCAGCUCGCGUUGAUUACGUCCCUGCCCUUUGUACACACCGCCCGUCGCUACUACCG
rnacentral:rRNA from 1 species